CCUCACUGAUUAGUAGCUUCUGACUUUUCUGAGUUUGCUGAAGCUAGAUGCCAUUCCAGAUAAGA
rfam:Nomascus leucogenys chromosome 22a, whole genome shotgun sequence.